rnacentral:tRNA from 1 species
CAAAUCAUAGCAUAUAACUAAUGCCUCUUACUUACAUUAAGAAGAAAAUUUUAUUUGAUUUGA